ensembl:lncRNA
GUUAAACUAAAUUAUAAGUAGCUGCAAUAAAAAGCUUUUAAACUGAGGCUAAUUGUUUGUCUGUAGGUGAUAAAUGUCAUAAACUGUUUUAUGAACUGUGUUCAUCUGUUAGUCACUGAGGUUCCAUCAACAGCAUCACUGCUGAUGUUUUUCAGCAGCAGAGGAGAUCUGUGGUGUGGUUGGCAGGGCUGGCAUGUGCCUGAAGCCUGGAGGAGACGACAUCAGCUGUGUCACCACUGGGGGGCGCUGUUGGUGGUGGGAAUAUGGGAAAUCCACUUCAGCAUAAUCAACUCCAUUCAUGUCAUCGUUAGUCUGACAUCAAACUUCAGACUCUAAAUUAAAUGAUAAAGUUCCCCUCAGGGUGUUGAUGAAGCAGAAAUGAACAAAAUAAUGAAAAUAUCCAAAACACUAAAGCAAAACAAAUCAACUGUACCACAAAUAACAAUAAUCAUCGUCUCUAAAAAUAAUACUUAAUAACAAAUGAAAGAUUUUAUUAUUGGACUGUUUUUAUCUAGCUGUACCUAAUAAACUGGGACCAGAGAGUCCACAUUGACUUUAUGCAUUCCUCAUCAUUAAUAUUAGCUGGCAGAAAGAGAUGAUAUAGUAAAAAUCAAAGAGCUUAAAAUCAGACCACAGUUUUACUUUGUUGUGAGCAGAGGUGGAGAGGCUGCAGAGGUCUAUGUUUACAUCUCCAUCUGGUUGGAGGCUUU